UCUCUAGCUUCAAGCCUUACCCCGAGUCUCUGCGAUUUCUUAGUCCGCUGAGAUGAGCCCCCGAACCCCGCUUUCCACCCGAAGCCAAACCGGGGAUGCGAGCCUUCGGAGAUGACCACACACCAUUUGUACAACAGAAGUUGGUGUUCCCCAUGCUGGGCAAACAAUGGGGCUCCAUCCUGUCUUUGAAUAGGAUGUUAGCUUGGAGUUGGAGAUUUUUAUGUUUAAUUUACAAAUGGAUCUUAGUGAGAAGAAAUCUGAGCAACCCGUGGACACAAACAUGAAAUAAAGGGAUUUUUUAUAAUGAA